rnacentral:rRNA from 1 species
GAUGAACGCUGGCGGCGUGCUUAACACAUGCAAGUCGAACGAUGAAGCCCAGCUUGCUGGGUGGAUUAGUGGCGAACGGGUGAGUAACACGUGAGUAACCUGCCCUUGACUCUGGGAUAAGCCUGGGAAACUGGGUCUAAUACUGGAUAUGACUUCUCAUCGCAUGGUGGGGGGUGGAGAGAUUUAUUGGUCUUGGAUGGACUCGCGGCCUAUCAGCUUGUUGGUGAGGUAAUGGCUCACCAAGGCGACGACGGGUAGCCGGCCUGAGAGGGUGACCGGCCACACUGGGACUGAGACACGGCCCAGACUCCUACGGGAGGCAGCAGUGGGGAAUAUUGCACAAUGGGCGCAAGCCUGAUGCAGCGACGCCGCGUGAGGGAUGACGGCCUUCGGGUUGUAAACCUCUUUCAGUAGGGAAGAAGCGAGAGUGACGGUACCUGCAGAAGAAGCGCCGGCUAACUACGUG